GGGCCCGCACAAGCGGUGGAGCAUGUGGUUUAAUUCGAUGAUACGCGAGGAACCUUACCAGGGCUUAAAUGGGAAAUGACAGGGGCAGAGACGCCCCCUUCUUCGGACAUUUUUCAAGGUGCUGCAUGGUUGUCGUCAGCUCGUGCCGUGAGGUGUCAGGUUAAGUCCUAUAACGAGCGCAACCCCUACCGUUAGUUGCCAGCGUGUAAUGACGGGGACUCUAACGGAACUGCCGGUGCAAACCGUGAGGAAGGUGGGGACGACGUCAAAUCAUCACGGCCCUUACGUCCUGGCCACACACGUGCUACAAUGGUAUCUACAACAGGAAGCAAGACGGCGACGUUAAG
rnacentral:rRNA from 1 species